GGUCGCUAUCAUUUUCUGUGAUUUGUGACCUAGACCUCUGUUUCUUUGUUUCCUCAACAACAUAAUCAUAAAGAGCAAGACGGUCAGCUUGAGUCAGGUCACAGGUGAAACGUUUGUGAUUUUGAGGAACUUCUACAGGCAGUGAUGAGUAAGAUCCUUCAGUGUAGCCUAUGCCUUCUUUGGCACUCUGAGCUCUAGCUUGCUGAACUAUGUGAAACUGUAGCUCUUUAUCCAUUGCAACGGUGGGCACCUUCAGGUUCUCAUAGAAGAAGCGAGAGUCGUACAUCUCGGCCUGCUCCUCGGCGGAGUAGCCCAUCUUGCGGAGGCGGCAGGACGCCGCAUGCCUCUCCAACGACGCCCGCGGCACACGGUGAUGGACGUCGUAAGGGCAGGGCACCCGCUCCACCUGAUCCUCCAGCCACACCGCGCAG
rnacentral:lncRNA from 1 species